AUUGAACGCUGGCGGCAUGCCUUACACAUGCAAGUCGAACGGUAACAGGUCUUCGGAUGCUGACGAGUGGCGAACGGGUGAGUAAUACAUCGGAACGUGCCCGAUCGUGGGGGAUAACGAGGCGAAAGCUUUGCUAAUACUGCAUACGAUCUACGGAUGAAAGCGGGGGAUCUUCGGACCUCGCGCGGACGGAGCGGCCGAUGGCAGUUUCGGUAGUUGGUGGGAUAAAAGCGUACCAAGCCGACGAUCUGUAGCUGGUCUGAGAGGAUGAUCAGCCACACUGGGACUGGGACACGGCCCAGACUCCUACGGGAGGCAGCGGUGGGGAAUUUUGGACAAUGGGCGAAAGCCUGAUCCAGCCAUGCCGCGUGCAGGAUGAAGUCCUUGGGGUUGUAAACUGUGUUUGUACGGAACGAAAAGCCUCUUUCUAAUAAAGAGGGGUCAUGACGGUACCGUAAGAAUAAGCACCGGCUAACUACGUG
rnacentral:rRNA from 1 species